AGAUGGCGACCGGCGCACGGGUGAGUAACACGUAUCCAACCUGCCGAUAACUCGGGGAUAGCCUUUCGAAAGGAAGAUUAAUACCCGAUGGUAUAAUCAGACCGCAUGGUUUGAUUAUUAAAGAAUUUCGGUUAUCGAUGGGGAUGCGUUCCAUUAGGCAGUUGGUGAGGUAACGGCUCACCAAACCUUCGAUGGAUAGGGGUUCUGAGAGGAAGGUCCCCCACAUUGGAACUGAGACACGGUCCAA
rnacentral:rRNA from 1 species